GUUCAGUUCGUCUGGGACGAACGGAUGACAGCGCGGGCGGCUGGAGGGGCGGCUCCGACGGGGCUCUCGUCGGCGGGCUGGAAAGAUCCGGUCAAGGGGGUCCCAUUUCCGAGCUCGAUGACGACUCCGGUCACCGGCAGCCAUAGAUCGAGGCACGGCUUGAAGGACCUCGGCGCCUCCAUGGCUGCUCCUGAUUGCAACGGGAGAGAAAGAGAACAUUAGAGAGAGGAGGAGGAGCAACAC
rnacentral:lncRNA from 1 species